GCCUUCGUGGUGUAAUGGUCAGCACACUGAGCCGGUAUUUCAGAGGUCGGUGGUUCGAUCCCCGGCGAAGGCA
rfam:Stegodyphus mimosarum contig36506, whole genome shotgun sequence.